GACGUAGGGCGCAAGCGUUGUCCGGAUUUAUUGGGCGUAAAGAGCUCGUAGGCGGCUUGUUGCGUCGUCCGUGAAAACCCGCAGCUCAACUGCGGGCUUGCGGACGAUACGGGCAGGCUGGAGUUCGGUAGGGGAGACUGGAAUUCCUGGUGUAGCGGUGAAAUGCGUAGAGAUGUGGAGGAACACCAGUGGCGAAGGCGACUCUUUGGCCUGUAACUGACGCUGAGGCGCGAAAGCGUGGGGAGCGAACGAGG
rnacentral:rRNA from 1 species